GCCGCUGUAGUGUAGCCUGGUUAGCAUAAGUGACUGUGGAUCUCUAGGUCGUGGGUUCGAAUCCCACCGGCGGCCCCA
rnacentral:tRNA from 1 species